ensembl:lncRNA
UGUGGGGGGGGAGGAGUGAGGAGAGAGGAGUGGGAUGCAAGACGGCGAAUAAAGGAGGCUCAGGAGGGAUGAUGGCAGACGAGGAAGAGGCAAAGUCUGCUCCCAUCAAUCUCUGACUGCAUGAUGCUCCCGUCCUAAGAAGAAACGAGCUCUUCAGUUCUCACAUGACAAAGCACAGAUUGAGCUUGGUGAAGACAAAGGCUGCUCGUGAAUGGUCGAGUUUCCAUACUACAAAAGUAUGUUUUUUUGUGCCCCUCCCUCCUCUUCUACAUGCAGGACCUGCAUCCUGUAAUUAGCGCCGGCCAAGACGACAUGUGAUGGGUUUCAAAGAAAUACCAACAAGCCACAGCGUUAUUUUUAAGUACACCAGAAUGAAUAUGUAUUACACUGCGCCAUGGAGAUAGGUCUGCCUGUGGGAGCAGAGAUAACGUCUAAUAAUGUCUCCGAAGGGUUUAUAUUGGAGUUUCGGUAGGUGCUGUUAGCUGCAAAUGCUCACGAAACAGCGCUGGAAUUGAUUGUAUUGUAUGAAUUUUGUAAAUAGUCAAUGGACUUGUAUUUGUAUAUUCCCUUUCACCCGUUUACGCAUUCAUACACUGAUGGCAGAGGCUCCCAUGCAGGGUGCCAUCUGCCCAUGAGGACCCCAAACUAACUCAUUCAUAUUCAUAUAUCCAGAGCACUGCCAAGGACACUAACACCUGUCUCUACAUACUUUGGGGCAGUUUUAUGAAGUUCAGAAGAGAUGCUGUCAUGAAAGUAUUUUAAUUUCAAUUGUUGUUUUCUAAUUAAAUGUCCAAAAUUCGCAAUCAA